CCAAUAGCGUAUAUUAAAGUUGUUGCAGUUAAAAAGCUCGUAGUUGAAUUUCGGGAUCAAUAUGUCGGUCGUGCCUCGGUACGUACUGACAUCAUUGGUUUCUCCCUUCUGAUGAACCAUGAUGCCAUUAAUUUGGUGUCGUGGGGAAUCAGGACUGUUACUUUGAAAAAAUUAGAGUGUUUAGAGCAGGCUCACGCUUGAAUACAUUAGCAUGGAAUAAUGAAAUAGGACGUUUGAUUCUAUUUUGUUGGUUUCUAGGAUCGACGUAAUGAUUAAUAGGGAUAGUUGGGGGCAUUAGUAUUCAAUUGUCAGAGGUGAAAUUCUUGGAUUUAUUGAAGACUAACUACUGCGAAAGCAUUUGCCAAGGAUGUUUUCAUUAAUCAAGAACGAAAGUUAGGGGAUCGAAGACGAUCAGAUACCGUCGUAGUCUUAACCAUAAACUAUGCCGACUAGGGAUCGGAUGAUGUUAAAUUUUUAAUGACUCAUUCGGCGCCUUACG
rnacentral:rRNA from 1 species